AAUAAAAUAAAAUAAAAACAUGAAUCAUGAUGAAAUUAUUUGUUGUUUUCUUAGUUCUUUUUCUACUCUUUUUUUUUUUUUUUUUAAUUUUAAACAACUACUUUACGCUACAUAAUUUUUCUCUUUUUUUUAAUUCACACUUUUUUUGGGUCAAACUUUUUCGUCUCUCUCUGCAUCUCCUUUUUUUUUUUUUUUGGGAACCCCUUUUUUCUUUCCAGAUCUCUGCAUCUCUUUCUGCCGCUCCUCCUUUUUCAUCAUCUUCUUCUCUUUCUUCCUGCCGCCUGCUUCUUCUUCUCCUUUCUCUCAUCACUUUUUUUUUUUCAAAAAUUCUCUACUCUACUCCUUCUUCUCCUUGUUCUAUUUUUCUCCCUCUGCCCAGAGAAGUCGUCCUCCUUGCACAGUCGUCAUCGUCGUCUAUAGUCCAUGUUGUGGAGUCUCGUUGUCUGCCGUCGGUGGUCGUCUGCCAUCGGUGCUCGUC
rnacentral:lncRNA from 1 species